GCGGGAGGAGGGGCUGCGCCUGCGCAGGGGGCGAGAUGGGGGCGGAGCCUUUCAAAAUGGCGGAGCGCGGCUGUAGCCUCUCCCUCGCUACGUUCAGGCAGUGAUCGCCUUGCACUUUGUCUUGUGCACAGCCUGCAUGUGAGAUGAUUGCAUGCACAGAAUGAAUAUGUUAUUGGAGUGGUACCUAUUAAAGUGUUGCUUUAAUACAUACACUUAA